rnacentral:rRNA from 1 species
UACAGAGACCCCGAGCAUUAUCCGGAUUUAUUGGGCGUAAAGCGUUCGUAGGUGGUUUCGUAAGUCAUUUGUUAAAUCUUCAGGCUCAACCUGGAGGCUGCGGGUGAUACUGCGAGGCUAGAGUAUGGGAGAGGCAGACGGAAUGCCCGGUGUAGCGGUAAAAUGCGUUAAUAUCGGGUAGAACACCAAAGGCGAAAGCAGUCUGCUGGAACAUUACUGACACUGAGGAACGAAAGCGUGGGUAGCGAAAGGG